rnacentral:rRNA from 1 species
CGGGGUGAGUAAUGUCUGGGAAACUGCCUGAUGAGGGGGAUAACUGCUGGAAACGGUAGCUAAUACCGCAUAACGUCGCAAGACCAAAGAGGGGGACCUUCGGGCCUCUUGCCAUCGGAUGUGCCCAGAUGGGAUUAGCUAGUAGGUGGGGUAACGGCUCACCUAGGCGACGAUCCCUAGCUGGUCUGAGAGGAUGCCAGCCACACUGGAACUGAGACACGGUCCAG